UGGUUCUGGCAUCGAUGAAGAACGCAGCGAAAUGCGAUAAGUAAUGUGAAUUGCAGAAUUCAGUGAAUCAUCGAAUCUUUGAACGCACAUUGCGCCCGCUAGCUAAUCUAGCAGGCAUGCCUGUUCGAGCGUCAUUUCAACCCUCAAGCGCUGCUUGCUUGGUGUUGGAGUUUCUGCAGAAGCUAGUACUUCUGCAGGCUCUGAAAUAUAGUGGCGGACUCGCUGGGGCUCCGAGCGUAGUAGUUUAUCUUUCUCGCUUAGGACGUCUUAGCGUGCGCUUGCCGUUAAACCCCUUAUAUUACAAAAGGUUGACCUCGGAUCAGGUAGGAUUACCCGCUGA
rnacentral:misc_RNA from 1 species